rnacentral:rRNA from 1 species
UACGUAGGGUGCAAGCGUUAAUCGGAAUUACUGGGCGUAAAGCGUGCGUAGACGGUUAUGUAAGUCAGGUGUGAAAGCCCCGGGCUCAACCUGGGAAUGCCAUUUGAGACUGCAUAGCUAGGGUACGGAAGAGGGAAGCGGAAUUUCAGGUGUAGCGGUGAAAUGCGUAGAUAUCUGGAGGAAUACCGGUGGCGAAGGCGGCAUCCUGGACCGACAUUGACGCUGAACGGCGAAAGCUAGGGGAGCAAACAGG